UACGUAGGGUGCAAGCGUUAAUCGGAAUUACUGGGCGUAAAGCGUGCGCAGGCGGUUUUGUAAGUCUGACGUGAAAGCCCCGGGCUCAACCUGGGAAUUGCGUUGGAGACUGCAAGGCUUGAAUCUGGCAGAGGGGGGUAGAAUUUCCGGUGUAGCGGUGAAAUGCGUAGAGAUCGGAAGGAAUACCAGUGGCGAAGGCAGCCAUCUGGCCUAAUACUGACGCUGAGGUACGAAAGCAUGGGGAGCAAACAGG
rnacentral:misc_RNA from 1 species